rnacentral:rRNA from 1 species
GAUGAACGCUGGCGGCGUGCCUAAUACAUGCAAGUCGAGCGAACGGACGAGAAGCUUGCUUCUCUGAUGUUAGCGGCGGACGGGUGAGUAACACGUGGAUAACCUACCUAUAAGACUGGGAUAACUUCGGGAAACCGUAGCUAAUACCGGAUAAUAUUUUGAACCGCAUGGUUCAAAAGUGAGAGACGGUCUUGCUGUCACUUAUAGAUGGAUCCGCGCUGCAUUAGCUAGUUGGUAAGGUAACGGCUUACCAAGGCAACGAUGCGUAGCCGACCUGAGAGGGUGAUCGGCCACACUGGAACUGAGACACGGUCCAGACUCCUACGGGAGGCAGCAGUAGGGAAUCUUCCGCAAUGGGCGAAAGCCUGACGGAGCAACGCCGCGUGAGUGAUGAAGGUCUUCGGAUCGUAAAACUCUGUUAUUAGGGAAGAACAUAUGUGUAAGUAACUGUGCACAUCUUGACGGUACCUAAUCAGAAAGCCACGGCUAACUACGUG